AUUUAUUUUUCUGAGACUGAGUCUUGCUCUAUCACCCAGGCUGGAGUGCAAUACCGUGAUCUCAGCUCAUUGCAACCACCGCCUCCCGGGUUCAAGUGAUUCCCGUGCCUCAGCCUCUUGAGUAGCUGGGACUACAGGCACGUGUCACCACGCCCGGCUGAUUUUUGUAUUUUUAGUAGAGACGGUGUUUCACCGUGUUAGCCAAGAUGGUCUCUAUCUCCUGACUUCGUGAGCCGCCUGCCUCGGCCUCCCAAAGUGCUGGGAUUACAGGUGUGAGCCACAGCGCAAGGACCAUAAUUUAUUACUUUUCAUGAUUCCUUGGAUCAGGAAUUUGGGCAAGACACAGCUGGAUAGUUCUUUGGCUUCACAGAUGGCGGCUGGAGUCAUUGUGUAGAUGCAUGUAUCUGAGAGCUUGGCUAGGGUUGAGACAUCCGUGAUGGCCUUUAGAUCUCAGAAAACUCUGCCCACGUGAACUCUAAGCAUUUACUAGUUUUUGCUGAACUUCCUUCCAGUAUGUUCACUGAGUCCCAAGAAGAAGCAAAAGAGAGCUGCUAAGUUUCUUAAGCCUGUGUUCGGAAGUCCCAGAACAUCAAUUUUAUCACGUUCUAUUGGUCAAAACACAUCACAAGUCCAGAGCAUAUUCAAGAGGAGGAAAAUACAGUUCAUCUCUGUUAUGAGCAGCUUGCAUGAACAAGAAUGGCAGUAAUAAUUGGUGACCAUAUUUGGGGACUCUUUACCAAAUCAGUUAAAAGAACACUAUGGCACCGGCCAUUUGAGCCCCUCUGCUCCCAAACCACCCCCUGAAAGCUGGAUAGAAAAUGGAAAACCUAUCAGGAGAACACUAUGAGUUUGGUAAUAACAAAGCUACAAGAUAUUACAGAGAGAGAAAGGAGGUCACUACCACCAACAGUGUGGUCCAGGAUGUUUGCUGGUGACAUCAUUGUGGAACAAGAGACAGCAGUGGAUGAUGAAAACAGCUAGACGAAAAUAUUCCAGAGUUGCAGAGAUUGGUUUGAUUUAUAUAUGAGAGCAUUCUCCUCUCUUUCUCUUACUCACAUUUUGGACCUCAGCACAGACUCUUGAAGAGACUUAAGGGUUUCCUUCCUCUAUUUGAAAGAUGAUCAGGGACACCUAGUGAUAUAAGCUGUUAAGGUGACCUUCCUAAGUUGCACCAGCUGCUAAUGUCCAAGGGACAUUUACAUUGCAUAAAAAUUUACUAUUUGCAUAUUCUUACUUCUUAAUUUAAAAGAAAAUUUAUUUAUGUAUUUUUAUAUGUAUACCUAUACAUAUGAAAAUUCUGAAAGAAUAUAUAAAAAAUUUUAAUGGUUACUAUAACUGGGUUAUGAAAUUAAUGAAUGAAUUUG
rnacentral:lncRNA from 10 species